rnacentral:tRNA from 1 species
CUAUUUUGGCAGAUUAGUGCAAUAAAUUUAGAAUUUAUAUAUGUAAAAAUACAAAUAGUA